AGAGUUUGAUCCUGGCUCAGAACGAACGUUGGCGGCGUGCUUAACACAUGCAAGUCGAACGAGAAAGUUCCCUUCGGGAAGCGAGUAAAGUGGCGCACGGGUGAGUAACGCGUAGAUAACCUGUCCAGAUGUCCGGGAUAGCCCAUCGAAAGGCGGAUUAAUACCGGGUAUCUUGUUUUAACCUAAGUUGAACCAAGAAAGGUGGCCUCUAUUUAUAAGCUAUCGCAUUUGGAGGGGUCUGCGUACCAUUAGUUUGUUGGUGGGGUAACGGCCUACCAAGACUACGAUGGUUAGCGGGUCUGAGAGGAUGAUCUGUCACACUGGCACUGAAACACGGGCCAGACUCCUACGGGAGGCAGCAGUGAGGAAUAUUGCGCAAUGGGGGAAACCCUGACGCAGCGACGCCGCGUGAGUGAGGAAGGCCUUCGGGUCGUAAAGCUCUGUCAGAAGGGAAGAAAUGAUUGCAGGUUAAUACCCUGUAUUCUUGACGGUACCUUCAAAGGAAGCACCGGCUAACUCCGUGCCAGCAGCCGCGGUAAUACGGAGGGUGCAAACGUUGUUCGGAAUCACUGGGCGUAAAGGGCGCGCAGGCGGUUUUGCAAGUCAGAUGUGAAAGCCCAGGGCUUAACCUUGGACGUGCAUUUGAAACUGCAAGACUUGAGUAUCAGAGGGGAAAGUGGAAUUCCCGGUGUAGAGGUGAAAUUCGUAGAUAUCGGGAGGAAUACCGGUGGCGAAGGCGACUUUCUGGCUGAAUACUGACGCUGAGGUGCGAAAGCGUGGGGAGCAAACAGGAUUAGAUA
rnacentral:rRNA from 1 species